rnacentral:rRNA from 1 species
GAUGAACGCUGGCGGCGUGCCUAAUACAUGCAAGUCGAGCGAACAGAUGAGGAGCUUGCUCCUCUUACAUUAGCGGCGGACGGGUGAGUAACACGUGGAUAACCUACCUAUAAGACUGGGAUAACUUCGGGAAACCGGAGCUAAUACCGGAUAAUAUAUUUAACCACAUGGUUCAAUAGUGAAAGACGGUUUUGCUUUACCUUAUGAAUGUAUCCGCGCCGAUUUAGCUAGUUGGUAAGUUAACGGCUUACCAAGGGAAGGAUGAGUAACCGCCCUGAGAGGGUGAUCGGCAAAACUGGAACUGGACCACGGUCCAGCCCCCUACGGGAGGAAGAAGUAGGGAACCUUCGGCAAUGGGCGAAAGCCGGACGGAGCAACGCGGCGGGGGGGAGGAAGGUCUCCGGACCGUAAAACUCUGUUAUUAGGGAAGAACAAAUGUGUAAGUAACUAUGCACGUAUUGACGGUACCUAAUCAGAAAGCCACGGCUAACUACGUG